rnacentral:rRNA from 1 species
CCCUUAGAUGUUCUGGGCCGCACGCGCGCUACACUGAUGCAUUCAACGAGCCUAUCCUUGACCGACAGGUCCGGGUAAUCUUUGAAUCUGCAUCGUGACGGGGAUAGAUUAUUGCAAUUAUUAAUCUUCAACGAGGAAUGCCUAGUAGGCGCAAGUCAUCAGCUUGCGUCGAUUACGUCCCUGCCCUUUGUACACACCGCCCGUCGCUCCUACCGAUUGGGUGUGCUGGUGAAAUGUUCGGAUCGGCCGUUUGUCGCGGUUUCCGCGUCAUGUGGCUGAGAAGUACAUUAACCCCUCCCACCUAGAGGAAGGAGAAGUCGUAACA